rnacentral:rRNA from 1 species
UACGAAGGGGGCUAGCGUUGCUCGGAAUCACUGGGCGUAAAGGGUGCGUAGGCGGGUCUUUAAGUCAGAGGUGAAAUCCUGGAGCUCAACUCCAGAACUGCCUUUUGAUACUGAGGAUCUUGAGUUCGGGGAGAGGUGAGUGGAACUGCGAGUGUAGAGGUGAAAAUUCGUAGAUAUUCGCAAGAACACCAGUGGCGAAGGCGGCUCACUGGCCCGAUACU